GUGCUUGCUUUGGCAGCACAUAUACUAAAUUCAGAAUGGUACAGAGAAGAUUAGCAUGGCCAUCGCGCAAGCGUUCAUGAAGCGUUCCAUGUUUUA
rnacentral:snRNA from 1 species